GCCGGCAACAAUUUCUACGGUGCGCGAGCGCAAAGGCCUCGCCUUUCCGGUGCCGCGCCCAAUUCUUUUGGCUUCUUUAAUCGAGAGCGCGCCUAAUUGCGCUGCCGCUAAUGGGAUUCCGUCCUGCCGCUUUACGAGCCGUGAUCGAUGUUUACUCGCGUGAAAUGAUGCGGACCUAACUCACACGGUGGAGGUAAAUCAAUCAGCCAGCAAAUUGACAGGUAAAUGGAGCUGAACGGAAGCGAUUGCUGAUUGGGUUCUUCUUCCCGUGCUUCGUCAAAAUCGUCUCUUCUCUUUCCGAGCAUGAUUUUGCCCUGGAAAUCACACAUGUUGCUGGUAAAAUUUUUCCUGCUUUCAGCUUUCAUCUCACGGACUUCUUGCUGGCUUAUCAAAUCGAGACUCUGGUAGUGUUGAUAAAUUUGUUUGUUUCAGAUUACUUGCCCUCUAAAUUAUAUAAUCUAGCUUAUAUAAUCCACAUGGAUAGCAAACACUACAAAUUAUAAUCCAGAUUAUAUAACCUAUACAAUUAGAUUAUCACAAUCACAUAAACUGCCCAAAGUAUGCUCAUUUCAUAUCAUAGUAUGGAUUAUAUAAUCUAGCGCAUAUAAAUUUGAUUAUAUAAUCUACAGGCCCUAAGUGUAACUUUCCUUGCCUCCACGCCACAAUAAUUCUCAUUAUAUGGGCUAGGGAAGAAAAAGAAUCAUGCUACUAAUUUGACAUGCUCUAAUCCUGGCUAGGAAGGAAAAAAUAUUCACUCUACAUUAUGCAAAUAACCUAAAAGAACUCAUAAAUGUAUAUCUAAUUUACUCAGCUUUAAAUUAUAGAAACACUACUACAAAAUUCUAUUUUGCGAGGCACUUAAAAAUUGCGUCGGUAAAUUCCUCCAUUAACCGUGACGAUGGCUCCGAGGCGGUUGGCAUGCCCGCCUCGGAAAAGCGAUUUUGCCCGCGCUCCAAAAUGAUUUCUGUAGUAGUGAAAUAAUGUAAAAUUACAUCCUAAUCUUUAUCUAAAUUACUCAACUAUAUGAUUAUAAAAAAAUAUUUCAAAGCAACGAACUAAGUGUAACUCGGUCGAUUAGAUUCGUUGGGGUAGAAUAUGUACUACCAAGUUUGAGUCCUUCACUCAGUGUAUGUGCUCACACUUGUUUAGAUUUAUUUCAGGAAUUUAAGUGUUAUUUUUUAAUGGUAGAUGAUGUGUCCGUCCCAAACAUUAUAAAUCUUUUUUACUACAAAAUAUUGAUUUGUUCCGUAGAUAGUAAAAGGAAGUGGAAAACGUAUGAGGCCUAACCUAAAAUGGUAAAACUCCUCCUCUUAUUGGGAGGGGGUUAUACCGAUAUUCCCCAAGUUCAACAAACCGGCGCCCACAAUGUAAAGCUCCCAGCAAUCCUGCACUCCUUGCCCCUGAAAGUGCUGUGUGGUUGCACCCGUCCUUUACAGGAUCCCGGGAUCGCCUGCAGAAUAUCCCUCCACAUGGCCGUUGCACACACCGCUGGAAGUGCAGGCGGCGCAACAACACUGGCCCCCUCCUUUUGCUUGGCGACAGCCUUUCUUUUCCGGUCACCGGAAGCAAUCCUAGUUGGAGUUUCAGGUCGCAAACGCAUAAGAAAAAUAGCCACCAGAUGGCCGGCCGCCAUUUUGUGCCGGAAUCGGCGUGGAUCGGAUUUACCUGCCCUUUUUUGUCACUUCAAAAUGUGGUUGCAAUGGGAUGCAUCGCGUCGCCCGGCUUUCUCGUUGUCUGAAUGUGAGGGGAUCUUUUGAGUGAGUGAAGGUGGUGACAGUGAGCAGGCAGGGUGUGGCAAGUGGCGUGUGCUCAGCUCAAGGGAUCAUGUGAUGGCUGCCCCCUUUUUUGAGGUAUCUCAACUGGAUAUUCUGGAGAAGAUGCAUGGAAGGGCGUGAUCGAUGCUGAAAACGAAAUGGGUUUUGGAUGAUCUGCAGAAUAUGCUCCCGUCUGAUCCAGCUAGUUACGGAAGAGUGUGAGUUCAAUGACAACAACACCUUUUGUGCUUGCUUGACAAACUAGUACAUUCUAGUUGCCCGACCUGAGUGUAAAGUCGGUCUGUCCCGACUUUUCUGAACACGGUUCAUCUGAACAUUUGCCAAUUUCGUAUAGCGCGUGUUUACAUUUCGUAUUCUCAUUUGCCCUCUCCCUGUGCUACGUUUGUCAAUGCCGAUCGUUUUAUUUGCUCGUAAACUUUUGCCAAUUUUAAGCCCACAUGAUUACAUGAACCACUAAUUAUCUGGCAUCAUUGUUGGCUGAUGAGUGGGCCAAACAUGUGCAGAAGAAGCUGGCCUAGCUUUCCAGUGCCAUCUUUCCAUGGAGCACGCAUUAUCGAUGCAUCACCUAGCUAUCUGUCCAAAAUUAUUCGGAGCGAACAUGUUAUCCUGAGCAAUUGGUGUGUGUUUAAAUUUGACGUUAAUUUGCAGCUGCGUCACUGCUCCACUAGCUCGGUGGUGGGUGGAGAGGAGGGAGGCGGCCGGCGAUAUUUUAAGUGUCCAUCCUGGCAGAUAUGAAAUGUAUAUAUAUUUUCCUUGCAUCGUGAGCAUCCAUGGCACCAUAAACCGAUAAAAGAAGUCAUCAGCUCCGAGUGGUGGUGUGUUGUUUGGGUUGUUUAGCAGAAGUUUCUGCUUUCAUUUGUGAAAAUACAUCGGGUCGUGGUGGAAAUCUGUGGUAGGUAAAAUUUAUGCAGUACAGUAAGAAUUAAGGAAUUACAAGGUAUUUUGCUAGGUUUUUCUUUUUCUCAGGUUAUGCAAGGAUUUACAAGUCA